AAUGAAUUGCCUGAAAAAGGACUACCUUGAUAGGGUAAAUUAUGUGGAAAAUUACACCACAUUCAUUA
rnacentral:tRNA from 1 species